ACACCCGAAAUGCCGCAGCCCGGGCAGGACUUAGCUCGGGCAGGGCUUGCCCUCAGGAAGGAUUUAUCCCUCGCUGUAGGGCUGUAGGUAAGGGAUUAGGAUUAGGAUGAGAAUUAUGGGGUUGACUGAGCCCGAACGGGGUUUGGGCUUGGAGCCCCCGGGUAGGCCCUGCGCUGUUGCUAGGCAACCGGCUCCGCCAUUACGUCCGCUGCCCCGACAGGGUAGGAGGAAGAAAGGGGGCGUGGACGUUCCCUCUGCUUCCGCCUUCUGCCGCCAACGCGUGCUCCCAUUGGCUAGGUACGCUGCCGUUGGCUGGGCACGUGCUGCCAUUGGCUGGCUCUCCUAAAAGACUGACAGAUGCUGCUUUUCUCUGCCACCUUCAGUGAAACUGUGUGGAAGUUCACCUUGCAGAUCAUCUCCAGAUCCAUCAUCACGAAGCUGCGGCAGGAGGACCUUGCCCUGACCAACACCAGACUACUGCUUUGUCUGCAGGAACUGGGAGCAGAAGCAUGCAGCCCUCUGCAACCUCUAUGGCAGCAUUUCCAGGCCUUAAUCUUCUGCCAGGUACAGCUCAUUUGCAAGCAGUGAGCUGCCAGUGAUCCAUCUGACAUGAUCAACCCCAGUGUGAUGUCAGCACUGCUUCAAAGAUCACCAAAAACUAGGGAACAGGUGCAAGGGAUGGAUGGGAAACACACAGUCAGAAUUAAAAGCUGAAAGUGGUAACAACAACA